rnacentral:misc_RNA from 1 species
GAUGAAGAGCGCAGCGAAAUGCGAUAAGUAAUGUGAAUUGCAGAAUUCAGUGAAUCAUCGAAUCUUUGAACGCACAUUGCGCCCGCCAGUAUUCUGGCGGGCAUGCCUGUUCGAGCGUCAUUUCAACCAUCAAGCCCCAGGCUUGUGUUGGGGACCUGCGGCUGCCGCAGGCCCUGAAAACCAGUGGCGGGCUCGCUGUCACACCGGGCGUAGUAGAUUUUAUCUCGCUCAGGGCGUGCUGCGGGUUCCGGCCGUUAAAAAGCCUUUUUUACCCAAGGUUGACCUCGGAUCAGGUAGGAAGACCCGCUGAACUUAAGCAUAUCAAUAAGCGGAGGA